GUAGGUGGCAAGCGUUGUCCGGAAUUAUUGGGCGUAAAGCGCGCGCAGGCGGUUCUUUAAGUCUGAUGUGAAAGCCCACGGCUCAACCGUGGAGGGUCAUUGGAAACUGGAGAACUUGAGUACAGAAGAGGAAAGCGGAAUUCCACGUGUAGCGGUGAAAUGCGUAGAGAUGUGGAGGAACACCAGUGGCGAAGGCGGCUUUCUGGUCUGUAACUGACGCUGAGGCGCGAAAGCGUGGGGAGCAAACAGGAUUAGAUACCCUGGUAGUCCACGCCGUAAACAAUGAGUGCUAAGUGUUAGGGGGUUUCCGCCCCCCUUAGUGCUGCAGCUAACGCAUUAAGCACUCCGCCUGGGAGUACGGCCGCAAGGCUG
rnacentral:rRNA from 1 species